UUAAGCGACUAAGCGUACACGGUGGAUGCCCUGGCAGUCAGAGGCGAUGAAGGACGUGCUAAUCUGCGAUAAGCGUCGGUGAGGUGAUAUGAACCGUUAUAACCGGCGAUUUCCGAAUGGGGAAACCCAGUGUGUUUCGACACACUAUCAUUAACUGAAUCCAUAGGUUAAUGAGGCGAACCGGGGGAACUGAAACAUCUAAGUACCCCGAGGAAAAGAAAUCAACCGAGAUUCCCCCAGUAGCGGCGAGCGAACGGGGAGGAGCCCAGAGCCUGAAUCAGUGUGUGUGUUAGUGGAAGCGUCUGGAAAGGCGCGCGAUACAGGGUGACAGCCCCGUACACAAAAAUGCACAUACUGUGAGCUCGAUGAGUAGGGCGGGACACGUGGUAUCCUGUCUGAAUAUGGGGGGACCAUCCUCCAAGGCUAAAUACUCCUGACUGACCGAUAGUGAACCAGUACCGUGAGGGAAAGGCGAAAAGAACCCCGGCGAGGGGAGUGAAAAAGAACCUGAAACCGUGUACGUACAAGCAGUGGGAGCCUCUUAAUGGGGUGACUGCGUACCUUUUGUAUAAUGGGUCAGCGACUUAUAUUCUGUAGCAAGGUUAACCGAAUAGGGGAGCCGAAGGGAAACCGAGUCUUAACUGGGCGUUAAGUUGCAGGGUAUAGACCCGAAACCCGGUGAUCUAGCCAUGGGCAGGUUGAAGGUUGGGUAACACUAACUGGAGGACCGAACCGACUAAUGUUGAAAAAUUAGCGGAUGACUUGUGGCUGGGGGUGAAAGGCCAAUCAAACCGGGAGAUAGCUGGUUCUCCCCGAAAGCUAUUUAGGUAGCGCCUCGUGAAUUCAUCUCCGGGGGUAGAGCACUGUUUCGGCAAGGGGGUCAUCCCGACUUACCAACCCGAUGCAAACUGCGAAUACCGGAGAAUGUUAUCACGGGAGACACACGGCGGGUGCUAACGUCCGUCGUGAAGAGGGAAACAACCCAGACCGCCAGCUAAGGUCCCAAAGUCAUGGUUAAGUGGGAAACGAUGUGGGAAGGCCCAGACAGCCAGGAUGUUGGCUUAGAAGCAGCCAUCAUUUAAAGAAAGCGUAAUAGCUCACUGGUCGAGUCGGCCUGCGCGGAAGAUGUAACGGGGCUAAACCAUGCACCGAAGCUGCGGCAGCGACGCUUAUGCGUUGUUGGGUAGGGGAGCGUUCUGUAAGCCUGUGAAGGUGGCCUGUGAGGGUUGCUGGAGGUAUCAGAAGUGCGAAUGCUGACAUAAGUAACGAUAAAGCGGGUGAAAAGCCCGCUCGCCGGAAGACCAAGGGUUCCUGUCCAACGUUAAUCGGGGCAGGGUGAGUCGACCCCUAAGGCGAGGCCGAAAGGCGUAGUCGAUGGGAAACAGGUUAAUAUUCCUGUACUUGGUGUUACUGCGAAGGGGGGACGGAGAAGGCUAUGUUGGCCGGGCGACGGUUGUCCCGGUUUAAGCGUGUAGGCUGGUUUUCCAGGCAAAUCCGGAAAACCAAGGCUGAGGCGUGAUGACGAGGCACUACGGUGCUGAAGCGACAAAUGCCCUGCUUCCAGGAAAAGCCUCUAAGCAUCAGGUAACAUCAAAUCGUACCCCAAACCGACACAGGUGGUCAGGUAGAGAAUACCAAGGCGCUUGAGAGAACUCGGGUGAAGGAACUAGGCAAAAUGGUGCCGUAACUUCGGGAGAAGGCACGCUGAUAUGUAGGUGAAGCGACUUGCUCGUGGAGCUGAAAUCAGUCGAAGAUACCAGCUGGCUGCAACUGUUUAUUAAAAACACAGCACUGUGCAAACACGAAAGUGGACGUAUACGGUGUGACGCCUGCCCGGUGCCGGAAGGUUAAUUGAUGGGGUUAGCGGCAACGCGAAGCUCUUGAUCGAAGCCCCGGUAAACGGCGGCCGUAACUAUAACGGUCCUAAGGUAGCGAAAUUCCUUGUCGGGUAAGUUCCGACCUGCACGAAUGGCGUAAUGAUGGCCAGGCUGUCUCCACCCGAGACUCAGUGAAAUUGAACUCGCUGUGAAGAUGCAGUGUACCCGCGGCAAGACGGAAAGACCCCGUGAACCUUUACUAUAGCUUGACACUGAACAUUGAGCCUUGAUGUGUAGGAUAGGUGGGAGGCUUUGAAGUGUGGACGCCAGUCUGCAUGGAGCCGACCUUGAAAUACCACCCUUUAAUGUUUGAUGUUCUAACGUUGGCCCGUAAUCCGGGUUGCGGACAGUGUCUGGUGGGUAGUUUGACUGGGGCGGUCUCCUCCUAAAGAGUAACGGAGGAGCACGAAGGUUGGCUAAUCCUGGUCGGACAUCAGGAGGUUAGUGCAAUGGCAUAAGCCAGCUUGACUGCGAGCGUGACGGCGCGAGCAGGUGCGAAAGCAGGUCAUAGUGAUCCGGUGGUUCUGAAUGGAAGGGCCAUCGCUCAACGGAUAAAAGGUACUCCGGGGAUAACAGGCUGAUACCGCCCAAGAGUUCAUAUCGACGGCGGUGUUUGGCACCUCGAUGUCGGCUCAUCACAUCCUGGGGCUGAAGUAGGUCCCAAGGGUAUGGCUGUUCGCCAUUUAAAGUGGUACGCGAGCUGGGUUUAGAACGUCGUGAGACAGUUCGGUCCCUAUCUGCCGUGGGCGCUGGAGAACUGAGGGGGGCUGCUCCUAGUACGAGAGGACCGGAGUGGACGCAUCACUGGUGUUCGGGUUGUCAUGCCAAUGGCACUGCCCGGUAGCUAAAUGCGGAAGAGAUAAGUGCUGAAAGCAUCUAAGCACGAAACUUGCCCCGAGAUGAGUUCUCCCUGAGACUUAGAGUCUCCUGAAGGAACGUUGAAGACGACGACGUUGAUAGGCCGGGUGUGUAAGCGCAGCGAUGCGUUGAGCUAACCGGUACUAAUGAACCGUGAGGCUUAACCUU
rnacentral:rRNA from 1 species